GCCCUGCCGCGCCGCGCCUGCGCACUGGCGCCCACCGCCCCGCCGCCCGCCGCCUCCUGGGGCCGCUCUCCACUGCGAGUCCGCCGGGACUAACCGGGCGUUUGCGAGAGGGGGUGCGUCCAAGGGCCCCUCCCGCGUGUCCGGCGCCCACCUUUGGCCCUGAGGGCCGAGUGGGGAGCCCCACGACGCUAUUACAGCCUUUCAGAUGCACGGACUGGGAAACUGGGGCUCAGAGAAGUCAAGUGGCUCGCCCAAGGUCACCCAGCGAGUGAUCCUGGGAAGAGGGGACAAGGGCCGAGCUGGAGCUGGGAAGGGCGCCCCAGUUCGCCCCAGUCGCGCUCUGAGGAAUAGCAGCGGGACCGCCCUGCUCUCUAAAGCUUCCUGGACUUCUCUAAGUUAUGUCGCGUUGCUGUCCCCUCGUACUUAUAAGAGAGUAAGGCAGGGGCGCCGUCCUUUCUCCGCGCCUGAGCUCAGAGCGCCAACCUCCUGAGAUCCGCCAGCUCAGAGGUAGCAAUCUGGAACACUCCUGACUGGCUCUUCAUCCCUCCCUGAUCUGAGUUGGCAGUCAGUCCACCAGCAGCUGUGGAGGAGGGCUAUGCACUGGGAAACUGACAGCAAGGGCACUGAAUCUUCUGCUCCAGACCCUCCUUCUCCGAGAACCUUCCAAGAAGGCAGGUGCCAAACGCUGAUGCCGACAUGCUUACUCCUUGGCGCUCUGGUUCUUUGUGAUGGUGGUGGCAGCCUGUCUGGAGUGGCCUCCAUGAAGACUCCAGUUGCAGCAGGAACUCCAGUUCCUGCAUGGCCAGGGCUGCACACUCCAUGGAGCUGGUGGAAGCCUGGAACAGCCCACAAAAGCCCUGGACUCAGCCAGCUUUGGAUAGAUGACAGGACAACCUGUGGAGAGGAGCUACCCAUGGUGGGUUGCCCCCUGCUGAGAGCUGUACACUCAUCAGGAUGACCUGCCAGCAGGUAGGAGCUACCCACUCCAGGUCUCCUCUCUGCUGAGGGCUACAGAGAAGUCAGGAUGACCUGCCUGUGGAUAGAAGCUACCUACUCCAGGUCUCCUCUCUGUCGAGGGCUGCAGGCUCCACUGGAUGACCUGCCUGUGGAAAAGAGCUACCCACUUCAGGUCUCCUGAGAGCUGUUCCAUCACUCAAUAAAGCAUCUCUGCACCUUGCCCACCC
rnacentral:lncRNA from 1 species